rnacentral:misc_RNA from 1 species
CCGAAUUGUCAACACGAGUUGUUGCUGGUCCUCAGACGGGGGCACGUGCACGCUCUGUUUACACAUCCACUCACACCUGUGCACCCUCUGUAGUUCUAUGGUCUGAGGGGCUCUGCCCCUCUUGCCACGGUUCUAUGUCUUUACACACGCACUGUAAUAAAGUUUAUGGAAUGCAUGACGCGUUUAACGCAAUACAAUA